rnacentral:tRNA from 3 species
GAGCCUGUAGCUCAGCCUGGUUAGAGCGCCGGUCUUAUAAGCCGGAGGUCCCAGGUUCAAAUCCUGGCAGGCUCA